rnacentral:rRNA from 1 species
GAUGAACGCUGGCGGCGUGCCUAAUACAUGCAAGUCGAGCGAACAGACGAGGAGCUUGCUCCUCUGACGUUAGCGGCGGACGGGUGAGUAACACGUGGAUAACCUACCUAUAAGACUGGGAUAACUUCGGGAAACCGGAGCUAAUACCGGAUAAUAUAUUGAACCGCAUGGUUCAAUAGUGAAAGACGGUUUUGCUGUCACUUAUAGAUGGAUCCGCGCCGCAUUAGCUAGUUGGUAAGGUAACGGCUUACCAAGGCAACGAUGCGUAGCCGACCUGAGAGGGUGAUGGGCACCCAGGGAACGAGGCCCCGGUCAGGGACCUAAGGGGAGGCCGAAGUAGGAAAUCUGCCCAAAGGGGGGAAAGCCUGACGGGGCAACCCCGCGGGAGGGAGGAAGGUCUUGGGAUCGUAAACCUCUGUUUUUAGGGAAAAAAAAAUGUGUAAGUAACUAUCCCCUUUUGGCCGUACCCUAAUAAGAAAGCCCGGCUAAACUCCGG